UAUCGUUAGGGUUUCAAGGUUAUCGUCGAUUCCGUUUUUAGGUUAUUGUCGCGCGGACCAGUCUCAAAAAUUAUUAACGACGGAGGUUGUCCAAAUUACUGGAGAUGAUACCCAUAAGAGCAAUCUUCCAAUUUCAAAGUCGAGGGAACUCCAUAAGAGAUUGCAGGGAUGUGUUGUGUGUUAGGACUGACUUAUAUUUCCACCAUUAUGUUUCAAAACACGGCAGAACUCCUUAAGAGAUUUCAGGAGUUGAGGGUUAAAGGGGUCGUUGAAAGUACAGCAAUACGUUGAUUGAAGCUCUGAGAAAGAAUGCAUGGGGAGCGUGCUUGCUGGGAAUAUGGACAGACAUUAAGAAUCUAUAAUGGGCAGCGGUGACAUUUGGGUGGAUACAAGUAAAAACAUCGUGCCCUUAGAAAAGGACCAACGCACAAAUUUCCUGCAAACAAAAUAUUCUAUAAAGAGAAGCCAGUUGAACAACUUGCUUUAUAUGAGUGAGAGAGGGAAGUUAUAAUUAUUGGCGGCAUGGACCGGGAGCAUGUUUGCUGUACUGGGGUUACCAAUAAGGAUCUCCAUACGUAUUUGCUAAAAAACAUGCUAUUAUGGGAAAUCAGUUGGAUAACCUUUUUAGGUUGAUGGCGUGUGUUCGUCUUUCUUUGUGAGAUGGCAAUUACACUUUAUAAUCAUUAGAUGUUUUUGAAAAAGUAUCACUGAAGCCUUUUAUUUACCUGAGAAUUAAUUGUGUAAUACAGUUAUUUCCAUGGCAAGAGUUUAAUCUGCUAGGGAGUAUGCUUUGUAUAAAUACAAAAGGAUCACAGCGUAUCUUUUGGGCCUUUGACUUUUGGGUAGCUAGAAAUAAAAUGGAAACGUCAUAUAUCUUCAAAGGAUGUCCAUUUAUAUUUUCUUUAAACAGAUAUAUAAUAUAUAUAUCAAUAAAUGAGCUCACUUCUAUUUUUCAUUGUUA